UAGACCGGGUCAUCUGGUGUAUCCAACUUAGUAGCAGCGCUGCACCCGUGCCCCCGCGCUACCACUUAGCUAGUGGCACCGCACCGCGUGGGUUCUCUGUCCUCUCCCUUGUCCCUCUCAAUCCCACACCCCACCCAAUCUUUCCCACUCCGCCGCUCCUCCCAAUCCCGCCACCGAUGCCUCCUCCGCCCCGAAACGACGGCGACAGGGACGCCGGCGCCCUCACCCGCCUUCCACCUCCCCUAGCUCGUCUUCUCGCCGAUCGAUUUGGAGGAGCCUCCUUUCGCGCGCCACCGUGGUCGGGCUGCGGCGACCACCAGAGAUCCGCCGCCGGCAGGAGCUCCCUCCUUCUCCACCACGAGGCACCGGAAGAGGAGGAUGACUCCUCCUUCCACCCCUAGCCAUGACGUCCAACCUCUAACGCCGCCUGAAACCCUAGCCCGAAUCCGACAGAGGUGCAGCAGCACGGCAGUUGAAGGAAGGGACGGAUCAUGGAGAAGCUGCAAGGGCCGCAUCGAGAGCGCACGCACGCCACCGUCCCUCGGAGGGCGCCUUGCUGCUAGGGCUCGCCAACUACGCGGACGAGGAGGAGGAUGAGCACAGGGCCCGAGGGGGCGCGCGAACGGCCGGCCCCGCGAGGAGGCAGAAGGAGGACGAGAGGAGGGCACUGGAGAGGCGGCCCAGGCAGGUCGAGCUGUGCUGAGACUGUCCCUACCUCGACACCGUCAAUUGACUGGUAUGAAAUUCUUUGGCACUGGCAUUUGACAUGUUGAUUCAGUUGCAAUUGCCUGCUAUUUGAUGAGGAUAAGCCUGGUCUGAGCCUUCUGGUUCUGUGCACAACUCUAGAAUCAUCUGAGAUCUGUCAAACAUGCUCACGGUAGUUUAAGUAUUAGCCGCUGGUAUGGUGUGACUAUAUACUCAGCUCAAGAACAUGUAGAAAUGUAGUGCUGGAGCUUGGCACUUAGGCAUUUAAUUUUUUAUAGUACCUUCCCAGUGAAUUCCAGCAGCGGCGCCUCUUCAUUUUAAGCAGUGAUGUAGCCCGUAUUGGUUAACUAGUGCUUUGUGUGUGCUAGUACCUCACAAUGUCAUCCUUGUAUAUGCACAAAAGAAAUUAUUCACCCCGCUAAUGUAUUGAUAUUUGAAAGGGAACAUGGCAAUGUGUUUCUAGGGGAGCUUCGCUACCGGUGCGUCUUUGUGCGAGUGUGCAACAUACCCUCCUACUUCCGCGGUUGUUCUGUCGGCCAGACAUCCUGACAGUUUCUUUCCCGUCACUUGAUCUUGUGUUUGAUGCAUUCUUUGAUGCAGAGGCUGCCGGUUUCAACCUCCUUAAGAAAAAAAACAGAAUCUUUUGUUGUUUCUGUUUGAUGCAGAGGCCGCUUGAGAAGAGGCAGUUUGGGGUGUUUAGGGAUUGUAUGUGUGGGGGCAUUAAAGGCGUUCCUCUGCUCGCUAACUGCAGGAAGCGGGUGAAGCUUCAACUGAUUGACAGAUUAACGACUUGGCUCUCCGAGCAACAAAAUCAGUUCAACGGCGCUCUUGGUUCCUCUUUCUUGCUUAUUGGUCAGAUUCUGAAUCUAGAUUCUGCUAUUUUAGUUCAUAUUCCAUUGAUUUGGUACACUACAUCAACAUUGAUGCAUCAACUCUGCUCCAUAAAUAUGGAUACAGAGUGUUUGCUGGCAGUUUUCUUCGAUAGUUUUGUGUUGCCAUUGCUCCCCUUCACAAGAUUUUGAAUUUAAUGACAAUACUUAUCCAUCAAAUUAAAUAUUUCUUCAAGUGUUGCAAUCUCUAUACAAACAUAAAUAAUGUCUGCCUGAGAUUUGGAUGUCUCUGAUCUUAAAUUAUUUGGAUUCCAGUAGUACGUUAUUGAUGUACCGAUUCUCCUACUGGAGUUAGCAUAUAUUGUUGUAUAACUUUAACUGUUUAAAAGCACAUUAAUUAUGCUAAUGAAGAAAUUAGGGUAGAGGAAUUCAGUAUUUAUUAAAGUUUGACAAAACUGCAUGUCGGUUUCUUCUUUUUGUUGGUCUGAAAUUGCUGCUCUUGUUGGAUUGUUUUCCCAUUUUGAUCCCACUGAGGAAGAAAGUAAUUCCACUGAUUCCAGGAUUUGUGAGUUCCUAGUAGUGUUCUAUUUAUAGACCUUGUGGACUUUCACUGUUUCUUAGUUGGUUGUCUUGCUGAUCCCUUUGAAACUUUCUAUUUUUGGAUCAUUGGACCUCUAACAGCAAAGCAUUUUCCUAAGGAUCAUGUCUAGUAAGCUCCCAACAAAACUAAUAGGGAACACAUGGACCUGGGGAGGCGGCGACGACAACGACAUCGACACGGGGUUGCGGCGGCGGCGACAUCGACAUCGACAAAGGGCUGUGGCGGCAAAGACGACGACGUCAUCGCCGCGGUGCUGUGGCGGCGGCGACACACGGUGCUGCGGCGGCGGCGACGACGACGACAUCAACACGGGCUUGUGGAGGCGCCGACGCCGACGACCUAUACGUGUGGCGUAUAUUGUAUAUAUAUAUGUAUUGAUUAUCUAUAUCAGAUAUAUGCAUAACAUGUUACGUAUUGUGAAAUGCAUGUAUGUGAGUACUAUGAAAUGUAUGUCUAAACUCAAAUAAGUAGAUUUUUAUUUUUUUU